rnacentral:lncRNA from 10 species
AAGGUGCCAAAAGUGAAGAAGAAAGCUCCUGCCCCUCCUAAACCAAAGCCAAAGUGAAGGCUUUGAAGGCCAAGAAGGCAGUGUUGAAAGGUGUCCACAGCCACAAAAAAAAAGAUCCGCACGUCACCCACCUUCCGGCGGCCCAAGACACUGAGACUCUGGAGGCAGCCCAAAUAUCCUCAGAAGAGUGCCCCAAGGAGAAACAAGCUUGCCCACUAUGCUAUCCUCAAGUUUCUGCUGACCACGGAGUCUGCCAUGAAGAAGAUAUAAAACAACAACAUACUGUGUUCAUUGUGGAUGUUAAAGCCAACAAGCACCAGAUCACACGGGCUGUGAAGAAGCUCUAUGACAUUGAUAUGCCCAAGGUCAACACCCUGAUUAGGUCUGAUGGAGAGAAGAAGGCAUAUAUUUGACUGGCUCCUGAUUACAAUGCUUUGGAUGUUGCCAACAAAAUUGGGAUCAUCUAA